rnacentral:rRNA from 1 species
UGGGGAAUUUUGGACAAUGGGCGAAAGCCUGAUCCAGCAAUGCCGCGUGUGUGAAGAAGGCCUUCGGGUUGUAAAGCACUUUUGUCCGGAAAGAAAUCCUUGGCUCUAAUACAGUCGGGGGAUGACGGUACCGGAAGAAUAAGCACCGGCUAACUACGUGCCAGCAGCCGCGGUAAUACGUAGGGUGCAAGCGUUAAUCGGAAUUACUGGGCGUAAAGCGUGCGCAGGCGGUUUGCUAAGACCGAUGUGAAAUCCCCGGGCUCAACCUGGGAACUGCAUUGGUGACUGGCAGGCUAGAGUAUGGCAGAGGGGGGUUAGAAUUCCACGUGUAGCAGUGAAAUGCGUAGAGAUGUGGAGGAAUACCGAUGGCGAAGGCAGCCCCCUGGGCCAAUACUGACGCUCAUGCACGAAAGCGUGGGGAGCAAACAGGAUUAGAUACCCUGGUAGUCCACGCCCUAAACGAUGUCAACUAGUUGUUGGGGAUUCAUUUCCUUAAUAACGUAGCUAACGCGUGAAGUUGACCGCCUGGGGAGUACGGUCGCAAGAUUAAAACUCAAAGGAAUUGACGGGGUCAUAGCUGUUUCCU